AAUAGAUACCCGGGUAGUCCACGCUGUAAACGUUGGGCGCUAGGUGUGGGGGGCCUCUCCGGUUCUCUGUGCCGCAGCUAACGCAUUAAGCGCCCCGCCUGGGGAGUACGGCCGCAAGGCUAGAACUCAAAGGAAUUGACGGGGGCCCGCACAAGCGGCGGAGCAUGCGGAUUAAUUCGAUGCAACGCGAAGAACCUUACCUGGGUUUGACAUGGCCGCAAAACCGGCAGAGAUGUCGGGUCCUUCGGGGGCGGUCACAGGUGGUGCAUGGCUGUCGUCAGCUCGUGUCGUGAGAUGUUGGGUUAAGUCCCGCAACGAGCGCAACCCUCGUUCGAUGUUGCCAGCGGUUCGGCCGGGGACUCAUCGAAGACUGCCGGGGUCAACUCGGAGGAAGGUGGGGAUGACGUCAAGUCAUCAUGCCCCUUAUGUCCAGGGCUUCACGCAUGCUACAAUGGCCGGUACAAUGGGCUGCGAUACCGUGAGGUGGAGCGAAUCCCAAAAAGCCGGUCUCAGUUCGGAUCGGGGUCUGCAACUCGACCCCG
rnacentral:rRNA from 1 species